CCAUGACCACGCCCCCACUUGGGUAGAUCUAACUACUUCUGCCUUUGGGUCUCUCUAAAAAUAUGUAUUAUUUUGCUGUACAUCUUAAUGUACUAGCAAUAACCCCUUAGUAUGAAUUCAUCAGUGCCUUUGGAUUUGAUCUCUCAGGUGGAUCUCAUUUCGUGACAGCUACAGACUGGACUUGGGAUGUGUCAAGAUCUUUUGCAUUUUAUACAGCACUGUUUUGAAGGAGCAGGCACCAACCCAGCGAACCUGAUGGCAUUUCCUUGGAGACCUUCACGAUGCCAGAUGCCUCUUGUGAGGUUCUGCCAUGCACUGGGUGCUUGCUAAUUAUUUUAAG